UCCGAUAUGGUGUAGUGGUUAACAUCGUUCGCUCUCAUGGAUAAUCAUCUGGUUAUCUGCGAUCCGAACAGCCCCGGGUUCGAUUCCCGGUGUCGGAA